rnacentral:misc_RNA from 1 species
AAAUAAAAAGAAAUGAAAAGAAAAACUUACAUUGAAUAGCAGAAACGCUAGAAUUAGAGGAUUAAGAAACAAACUAUGCUAAAAUGAAAAGUAAAAACCCACUAAAACCAGAGAUCUUACCAUAUCCCUCAGGAUCCUUGUGUAUAAACCUUAUCAAAUGAUCAGUAGUCGCCAAAUUUAUAUCACUGAAAUAAUACUCCACUUGAUUCAAAAGUUUCUGCACA